rnacentral:rRNA from 1 species
CACGACACGAGCUGACGACAGCCAUGCACCACCUGUCACUGCGCUCCCGAAGGCACCCUCCCGUUUCCAGGAGGUUCGCAGGAUGUCAAACCCUGGUAAGGUUCUUCGCGUUGCAUCGAAUUAAACCACAUACUCCACCGCUUGUGCGGGCCCCCGUCAAUUCCUUUGAGUUUCACACUUGCGUGCGUACUCCCCAGGCGGAACACUUAACGCGUUGGCUACGACACCGAGGGGGUCGAUUCCCCCGACACCUAGCGUUCAUCGUUUACGGCCAGGACUACAGGGGUAUCUAAUCCCUUUCGCUCCCUUGGCUUUCGUCCAUGAGCGUCAGUUAUGGCCCAGCAGAGCGCCUUCGCCACUGGUGUUCUUCCCGAUAUCUACGCAUUUCACCGCUACACCGGGAAUUCCCUCUGCCCCUACCACACUCAAGCCCUGUAGUUUCCAUCGCUUAAAUGGAGUUAAGCUCCACGCUUUAACGACAGACUUACAGGGCCGCCUGCGGACGCUUUACGCCCAAUAAUUCCGGAUAACGCUUGCCACUCCCGUAUUACCGCGGCUGCUGGCACGGAAUUAGCCGUGGCUUAUUCCUCAAGUACCGUCAGUUCUUCUUCCUUGAGAAAAGAGGUUUACAGCCCAGAGGCCUUCAUCCCUCACGCGGCGUUGCUCCGUCAGGCUUUCGCCCAUUGCGGAAAAUUCCCCA